UACGGAGGAUGCAAGCGUUAUCCGGAAUGAUUGGGCGUAAAGUGUCCGCAGGUGGCUGUGUAAGUCUGCUGUUAAAGAGUCUAGCUCAACUAGAUACAAGCAGUGGAAACUACACGGCUAGAGUACGUUCGGGGCAGAGGGAAUUCCUGGUGUAGCGGUGAAAUGCGUAGAGAUCAGGAAGAACACCGGUGGCGAAGGCGCUCUGCUAGGCCGUAACUGACACUGAGGGACGAAAGCUAGGGGAGCGAAUGGG
rnacentral:rRNA from 1 species